rnacentral:misc_RNA from 1 species
UCUCCGUUGGUGAACCAGCGGAGGGAUCAUUACAGAGUUCCACAACUCCCAACCCCUGCGAACCGUACCCCAGUUUGUUCUCGUUGCCUCCUGGCGGCGCGCCCCCGGCGCCACCGCCGGGACCCCCGCCAGCGGCGGCGUGCCCCCUGAACGUUUUUUUCUCAACCAGCGCGUCUGAGCUAACAAACAAAUGAAUCAAAACUUUCAACAACGGAUCUCUUGGCUCUGGCAACGAUGACGCACGCAGACUGAUCGGACGAGCAAACGUCUGAACUCCAG